rnacentral:lncRNA from 1 species
CCGGGGGAAGGGAAAUGAAGAUGGUAGUGGAGAGAGGUUCACUAUCCUUUCAUAUCACCUGAGGAAAAUAGAUCAAGGAGGAAUCACAGAAGGAGAAUGAAAGUAAAGAUUCUCAGCUUCUUAAUGGAUCCAGUUCUACCUCCAAGAACAUGGUCUAGUGGAGUGUCUCUUGAAUCUGUAGUGGACACAGGGCUUAAAGUCUUUCAGUACAAUUCAAGUCUCAUCAAUAACCAUUUGUGUGCCUCCUGUGUGCAUGGGAGUGAAUUCAAAAUUUGACUCAGAUAUUAGGUAAAUGAAUUUGGGAUAUCUGCUGAUUUAAAAAUGCAGUGACCACAGGGAUGAGGAUUUUCUACUCCAGUUCCUGAAGUCUUUAAAGCCCUGCUGUUUAGUUGUUAGAAAUAAAAUUAAAUUGUACAGCA